rnacentral:rRNA from 1 species
GACGAACGCUGGCGGCGUGCUUAACACAUGCAAGUCGAACGAAGUGGCGAACGGGUGAGUAACGCGUAAUCAACCUGCCCUUCAGAGGGGGACAACAGUUGGAAACGACUGCUAAUCCCGCAUACUGAAGGAGGGGAUUGCGUCUGAUUAGCUAGUGGGAGGGGUAACGGCCCACCAAGGCGAUGAUCUCUAGCUGGUCUGAUGGGAUGACCAGCCACACUGGGACUGAGACACGGCCCAGACUCCUUCGGGAGGCAGCAGUGGGGAAUAUUGCGCAAUGGGGGCAACCCUGACGGAGCAACGCCGCGUGAGUGAUGACGGCCUUCGGGUUGUAAAGCUCUGUUAAUCGGGACGCGGUACCGGAAUAGAAAGCCACGGCUAACUACGUGCCAGCAGCCGCGGUAAUUC